CGCGCAUGCGCCCGAGCCCCGCCCUGAGCUCGCCGCCCCAGGGAAGCUUCUGGCCCCUUGUCCCCCACACUACCGGCAGGAGGGACAGCGGGGAGACCUGGACGGGGAGAAGUUGUCGCGAGGAAGGUGGUGGAGAGCCGCGCAGAGACGCUCACUGCGUGAAGGCCUGCAAGAAAGGAGUGCACCACUUAGAAGUCCAGAGGUGAUGUCCAAUGUGUAACCCAAGAAGGUUCCCAAUGAACACUGAAAUACAGAAGAGGAGCUGAGCACAGAGAAGCUCAUGCAAGUUCCCAGGGCUGCCUAGCUAGUGAAGGUGGGGGAGCAAAGAUGUAACUCAAUGUCUGGCCAAACCUGAAGGCCA
rnacentral:lncRNA from 1 species